rnacentral:lncRNA from 1 species
AUAUACAUGUUUAAAUAACAAGCAUGCAAGUUAGGUGUGAAAGAGUGAUUUGGUAAUAAAUCUGCUUGGGACAGCAGCAGUAACGUGACUUUGGAAAAUCACCAUAAAUUGUGGGAGAUGAGUUAGAAGCUGUAUAAAUUAUGUAAUUAAAUCUUAAUGAGUCUAGUUUCAAAUGGAAUAAACGAGAACAUAUUUUGAAUUCUGUACAAUGAGAAAUUUGAUUCGUAAUGAAGAGUGGUCAGAUUAGUCAAACAGUGAAACAUGGGAAACUUUGAGA